rnacentral:rRNA from 1 species
CAGUAGCCGCGGGAAUACAGAGGGUGCGAGCGUUAAUCGGAUUUACUGGGCGUAAAGCGUGCGUAGGCGGCUUCUUAAGUCGGAUGUGAAAUCCCUGAGCUUAACUUAGGAAUUGCAUUCGAUACUGGGAAGCUAGAGUAUGGGAGAGGAUGGUAGAAUUCCAGGUGUAGCGGUGAAAUGCGUAGAGAUCUGGAGGAAUACCGAUGGCGAAGGCAGCCAUCUGGCCUAAUACUGACGCUGAGGUACGAAAGCAUGGGGAGCAAACAGGAUUAGAGACCCGCGUAGUCCCUGUCUCUUAUAC